GGCUGCGGGCUGCAGAAACUGUCCGGAGAGUGGCACGCUAAGAAUGGGCGCGAUGGUGGCAGUCGUCCGGCUCAGCGACAGCGGUUGGUGUGGACAAAUCCUCCAAGAUUUAACUUCCAAGAAAACCGGCGGCGGAGCGGGUGGAGGAGGCGAGGAUGUGUGGCCAAUGCACGCGGAGUGCAAGGCCGCCUAGUUGGGAGCCGCAAGAGCCUGCCUGGUGUGGCAGGCACACGGAACCCAAUCCCUGUCUGUCCGCUGCGGCCUGGGAGGGGAGCGCCGGCCUCACCAGAGGAAGGAGCACGAGGGGAGGAGUUCCGAGAGGAAAUAAUUAGUGAAAUAUUUGCAGAAGAUGCUGGGAUGUGGAUUUAAUUCCGGAUGGACAGUGGUGCUUCUGAUUCCCUCAGUCUGUUUCCCCACCCACGAUCUCCUCUUUCCUUGGCCUAGACACACCAAAAAUAAUUCAAUAAAAUAAAAAUAAAAAUUUAAAAAUC
ensembl:lncRNA FOXD3-AS1 FOXD3 antisense RNA 1